rnacentral:rRNA from 1 species
CUGAGUACGGCGGAACACGUGAAAUUCCGUCGGAAUCCGGGAGGACCAUCUCCCAAGGCUAAAUACUCCCUAGUGACCGAUAGUGAACCAGUACCGUGAGGGAAAGGUGAAAAGCACCCCGGAAGGGGAGUGAAACAGUUCCUGAAACCGUGUGCCUACAAGUAGUUAGAGCCCGUUAAUGGGUGAUAGCGUGCCUUUUGUAGAAUGAACCGGCGAGUUACGAUUUGUUGCAAGGUUAAGCGGAAAAAGCGGAGCCGUAGCGAAAGCGAGUCUGAAUAGGGCGCAUAAGUAACAGGUCGUAGACCCGAAACCAGGUGAUCUACCCAUGUCCAGGAUGAAGGUAAGGUAAUACUUACUGGAGGUCCGAACCCACGCACGUUGAAAAGUGCGGGGAUGAGGUGUGGGUAGCGGAGAAAUUCCAAUCGAACUUGGAGAUAGCUGGUUCUCUCCGAAAUAGCUUUAGGGCUAGCCUCGAGGUAAAGAGUCAUGGAGGUAGAGCACUGUUUGGACUAGGGGCCCUUCUCGGGUUACCGAAUUCAGAUAAACUCCGAAUGCCAUGUACUUAUACUCGGGAGUCAGACUGCGAGUGAUAAGAUCCGUAGUCGAAAGGGAAACAGCCCAGACCACCAGUUAAGGUCCCCAAAUAUAUGUUAAGUGGAAAAGGAUGUGGGGUUGCUUAGACAACCAGGAUGUUGGCUUAGAAGCAGCCACCAUUGAAAGAGUGCGUAAUAGCUCACUGGUCGAGUGACCCCGCGCCGAAAAUGUACCGGGGCUAAACAUAUUACCGAAACUGUGGAUGAACCUCUUUAGAGGUUCGUGGUAGGAGAGCGUUCUAAGGGCGGUGAAGUCAGACCGGAAGGACUGGUGGAGCGCUUAGAAGUGAGAAUGCCGGUAUGAGUAGCGAAAGAAGGGUGAGAAUCCCUUCCACCGAAUAUCUAAGGUUUCCUGAGGAAGGCUCGUCCGCUCAGGGUUAGUCGGGACCUAAGCCGAGGCCGAUAGGCGUAGGCGAUGGACAACAGGUAGAGAUUCCUGUACCAGUGCUAAUUGUUUAACCGAUGGGGUGACACAGAAGGAUAGGGAAUCGCACGAAUGGAAAUGUGCGUCCAAGCAGUGAGUGUGAGAA